rnacentral:lncRNA from 1 species
GUCCUGACUGUUGUCAACAGAUAAGAAGGAGAUACAAUUAUCAUAUAACUGUGUUGAUAUCUCUCGGGGUUAAUUUUGGUAAUAGGGAAAGGCAAAUGUUCAACAUACAGAUGAGAUGUUUUUUUGUUUUCAAUCAGAAAAAAGUAAUUUGUCUUGGGUUUUUGAAUCCUUUCUGAAUUCUGAAAACUUCUUAAAACAAGGCAAUCCCAAAUAUUAUAGCGUCUAUGACACUAUGAUAUAAUUUGUUGCACUUGGGACAAACGUCAAAAACUGUGAAACACGUUAAACUUCUUAUUCUCUAUUUUAUUAUAUAAUCAAAAGUGCAGGCAGCUUAAUCAUUCGACAUUCUUGAUACAACAGAUUUAUCAUGCAGUACUCUAAUAAGAUAUCUGAUAAGACGAUAAGAAAUACAAUUACAUGUACAUUCCCUCACACCACACAUUCAGAUGAAUUGAAUUUGACGAGUCGAGAUACGGCGGAAAACGCUUAAGUUAUUUAGAAUAAUAAUGGGUAAUUAAUUUUAACUAAAAAUUAAUCCUAGCAGGUUUACAUUAUUCAAUAUUAAAAAUUGAAGACAACUAAUAAAAUUUCGUAACAGGUGUUUUUUUAACUAUAUCAAAUGAAAAAUAUAAACUUCUUUGCGAACGACACGUUUCUGGAAUUACCGAUAUCAUGACAUGGAAAAGGUGUAACUAAAGCAACAGCCAAUAUUAUUAUAUUUGUCUCAUCUAUAAUAUGUAAUGAGUUCAUUCAAAGUUACGUGUAUGAACUACAUG